UACGUAGGUGGCAAGCGUUAUCCGGAAUUAUUGGGCGUAAAGCGCGCGCAGGCGGCCUCGUAAGACAGAGGUGAAAGCCCCCGGCUCAACCUGGGAGGGCCAUUGGAGACUGGGAGGCUUGAGUAUAGGAGAGAAGAGUGGAAUUCCACGUGUAGCGGUGAAAUGCGUAGAGAUGUGGAGGAACACCAGUGGCGAAGGCGACUCUUUGGCAUAUAACUGACGCUGAGGCGCGAAAGCGUGGGGAGCAAACAGG
rnacentral:misc_RNA from 1 species